rnacentral:lncRNA from 1 species
AACGACCCUUCGGAAUACCCAAAAAAGCUCAGAACACAGAUCAAUCACUCGAACCUUGCAAUUUGCUAAAGUUCAGUGUGUUACAAAAUUGAUACAUUUUAAAACAUAAAGUACUAAAGUGAGAAAGUGCGAAACCAAAGGAGUGGUAUUUGAAAUUUAUCCUAAAAGUAAAUUAGAGGAAAUUAGGAGCUUUGAACUCAUAAGUCGUUUUCGAUGAUGGAGAUUCCGAUUCGACGAUCCAUAUCGUUAAACAUUAUCUAGAACAUUUAAAACUUCUAGAAAUCAAAUUUCAUAAUUUUUCGACAUCAUUUACCUUACGAUCAAAAGCUCACAAAAUUGACAUUUUUUAACGGCCGGUAUGGGAUACUCGCUACUUUAACGGUGUAAAAGAAUCAGAAUAUGUUGAAAUUUUGAUAGAAAAUUCUAUUCACUACCUAGAUAAAGAUCAAUAACUGCGAUCUUAAAUUAAAGGAUCCGAUCAUCCAUUUUUAGGACGUCGUUCGAUUUUGACCGUUUAUUUUAUGCCCAUUUGAUGGACUUAUUAUGAUUUCGAAAAAUUACGAAAUUCAUUUUUUAGAAGUUUCAAAUACUCUAGAUCAUAUUUAACAGAGUGAAUCGUCGAUUCGGAAGGCCCAUCAUCGAAAACAACUUAUGAGUACGAAGUGCUCUAUACUCAUAAGAGUAUAGUAGUCCUACUAUAUAUAUAUAUAUAUAUAUAUAUAUAUAUAUAGAGAGAGAGAGAGAGAGAGAGAGAGAGAGAGAGAGAGAGAGAGAGAGAGAGAGAGAGAGUCCGACUACUAUACUAUUAUGAGUAUGAUCACCCUCGUACUCAUAAUUGUUUUCGAUGAUAAAGCUUCCGAAUCGACGAUCCAUACUGUUAAACGUUAUCUAGAGCAUUUGAAACACCUAGAAAUCAAAUUUCAUAAUUUUUCGACAUCAUUCACCUUACGAUCAAAAACUCACAAAAUUGACAAUUUUUAAUGGCCGGUAUGGAAUACUUGCUAGUUUAACGGUGCAAAAGAAUCUCAAAAGGUUAAAUUUUUGAUAGAAAAUUCUAUUCACUAUCUAGAUAAAGAUCAAUAACUCUGAUCUUAAAUUGAAGGAUCCGAUCAUCCAUUUUUAAGACAUCGUUCGAUUUUGACCGUUCAUUUUAUGCCUGCUUGAUGGACUUUAUUAUGAUUUCAAAAAAUUACGAAAUUUAUUUUCUAGAAGUUUCAAAUACUUUAGAUCAUAUUUAACGGAGUGGAUCGUCGAUUCGGAAGCUCCAUCAUCGAAAACAACUUAAGAGUACGAAAGGUCCAAUUAAUACCCAUAAUAGUAUAGUAGCCUUACUCUAUAU